rnacentral:rRNA from 1 species
CACGUAUUUAGCCGGGGCUUCUUAGUCAGGUACCGUCAUUUUCUUCCCUGCUGAUAGGGCUUUACAUACCGAAGUACUCCAUCGCCCACGCGGCGUCGCUGCAUCAGGGUUCCCCCCAUUGUGCAAUAUCCCCCACUGCUGCCUCCCGAGGUUUAGCUGGGCCGUGUCUCAGUCCCAAUGUGGCCGUCCACCCUCUCAGGCCGGCUACUGAUCGUCGCCUUGGGUGGGCCCGUUACCCCGCCAACAAGCUAAUCAGACGCGAGCCCAUCCUGCACCAUAUUACUUUCCACACCGCCCCAUGCGGGGCUGUGCGCCUAUGCGGUAUUAGCAGCCGUUUCCAGCUGUUGUCCCCCAGUGCAGGGCAGGUUGCUCACGCGUUACUCACCCGUCCGCCACUAGGCAGCGCCAAUUCCGCUCCGAAAAGUUUCCAUCGGCGCGCCCCGUUCGACUUGCAUGUGUUAGCACGCCGCAGCGUUCAUCCUGACGCCAGGACUACGAAACUUCCG